rnacentral:sRNA from 1 species
UUUAAAGGGAAAAUAGGUGGAAAUUCAAAAAUCAAGUGAAAAAAGGUGGUGAGUCAAUUGUUUCGGGUAAGAGACUGCACCCGAGGGCGGAAGAUAGGAGUAUUUCUACUCCUAAUACUAGGGGGUUCCGUGGACCAGCCUAUUAGAGGGGCACGGUAA